UACGAAGGGGGCUAGCGUUGCUCGGAAUCACUGGGCGUAAAGCGCACGUAGGCGGAUCUUUAAGUCAGGGUGAAAUCCUGGAGCUCAACUCCAGAACUGCCUUUGAUACUGGGGAUCUCGAGUCCGGAAGAGGUGAGUGGAACUCCGAGUGUAGAGGUGAAAUUCGUAGAUAUUCGGAAGAACACCAGUGGCGAAGGCGGCUCACUGGUCCGGUACUGACGCUGAGGUGCGAAAGCGUGGGAGCAAACAG
rnacentral:rRNA from 1 species